rnacentral:rRNA from 1 species
GUAACGCGUAUGCAACCUACCAUCAGAGGGGAAUAACCCGGCGAAAGUCGGACUAAUACCGCAUAAAACAGGGGCACCGCAUGGUGAUAUUUGUUAAAGAAAUUCGCUGAUAGAUGGGCAUGCGUUCCAUUAGGUAGUUGGUGAGGUAACGGCUCACCAAGCCGACGAUGGAUAGGGGAACUGAGAGGUUGGUCCCCCACACUGGUACUGAGACACGGACCAGACUCCUACGGGAGGCAGCAGUGAGGAAUAUUGGUCAAUGGGCGAGAGCCUGAACCAGCCAAGUCGCGUAGAAGGAAGAAGGAUCUAUGGUUCGUAAACUUCUUUUGCGAGGGGGAAUAAAGUGCAGGACGUGUCCUGUUUUGUAUGUACCCUGAGAAUAAGGAUCGGCUAACUCCGUGCCAGCCGCGGC